UUUCAAACCAUCAUCCACAGAUGGGGCAGGCGGGAGCUUGCCUGCUCUUCAUCCAGAUGACACUGAUUUUCUGAGUUACACUUGACACCAAGACUAUUACAGAUCUGAUCACUUGAAAACAAACCCUUCUGUCCUUCCCUGGCAAGAUUCUUCUUCCACUCCCCUCUCACUUAGUCCAAACAUCCCUCGCAGAACCAAUGACGGCACUAUUCUGUUGCCACUGUCCCAGAACUUUGUAUCACUAUUCCAAUUUCUCCUUUUUCAAAACACUUCCACACAUCCUAUACUAUCUUAUCUUUACAACAAAUUCUGAGGAGCCGAGUUACAGAGGAGGAAACACCGUGCUUAAAAUGUGCUCAAAGCCACACUGAGUAGAACCCAGUUCUUCCUCUUGAUCCUAAUGAGGGAGAAAGGAGCUGUAGAUGCUUUCUUAAGUGACCUGCAGAAAAAGGGAGGCUCUUGGGCCUGAAGUUUAAAGAAAUAAGUGAAGGAGGUCAAAAGGAAGAUCAGCCCUGAGCUAACAUCUGCUGCCAAUCCUCCUCUUUUUGCUGAGGAAGCCUGGCCCUGAGCUAACAUCUGUGCUCAUCUUCCUCUACUUUAAAUGUGGGACACCUACCACAGCAUGGCUUGCCAAGCAGUGCCAUGUCUGCAUCCAGGAUCCAAACCGGUGAACCCUGGGCUACCAAAGUGGAACGUGCGCACUAACCAUGGUGCAACCUGGCCAGCCCCUCCUUCUCCAUUUUUAGUAGAUUAAUAGCAAAUCACCUACUUCUUGUAUAAUUCUCAAACAAGGCCAAAAAAUAAA
rnacentral:lncRNA from 1 species